UAGGAAUCUCGCGCAGCGUCAUCUUGGGUUGGGUUGCGUUUGUUGAUCCAGCGAAGAAAAUCCUCGCUAGCUGAUCGACUAUCAGUCACGUACGACUGGAAUGUGGACCUACAAGCAACGUAGCGGUCCGUAGCUUAAACGAGACGAUAUUGCGCACGACCGUUGCUUUUCUUUGGAUUAUCGUACAGCCACAGUAAAACGAACGCGAAUGGUUCGGUCUAUGGUGGUCUGCGGCUUUCCGUAAAGCGAUUCGCGUAAGAAACUUUACUUUAUUUAAAGGGUUCACGUCGGUUCAUUCCGCAACAGGUUUCUAUAAUAAACCCGCGGUACAAAGUUAUCGGACGAUAUCGGAGGAAACCGAUCUGAAAGAAGAGAACGAUGCGUAAAAGAAGAGGAUAACGUUAACUCGUACCACUAAUCUGCAAACAGGUCAACAAGAAACACUUAUCGGGUGACCAAGGAAGGUCUUGAAUUUCUAUCUACAAAAUAAAGAAAUAACCAAAGGAAUACCCAUAUCAUAUCUGGACGUAAUUUUCAAUAUGAUGCCGAUGUUCCUCACCGUAUACCUCAGCAACAGUGACCAGCACUUCACCGAGCUUCCCAUCACACCGGAGACACUGUGCAGAGAUGUGGUGGACAUGUGUAAAGAGCCGGGGGAGGUGGACUGCUAUUUGGCCGAAAUGUGGAGAGGUUCUGAGCGUGUGAUUGGUGACAGCGAGCGAAUUAUGGAGUUGCUGCAGCGCUGGGGUCAGCAGAGGGCGGAGGUGCGAUUCUUCCUGCGUCAUAACAGAGCACCCAGCCACGAUACAGGGGGUCAGCAGGCUCCGGAGCCUCCUGUCAAAAGAAAUGUCGUGAAGGGAAAGAUGGAUAGACACAUGGAGAAUGGAAUGGUACCUCCUCGUAUGGACAUCACCCUUAGUGAGCUACAAGAGAUGGCGGCAAGGCAACAGCAGCAGAUAAAUGCCCAACAACAGCUUCUGGCGUCAAAGGAGCAGCGACUGCGUUUCCUUAAGCUUCAGGACCAGAGACAACAACAGCUGACGUCUGAACAGGAGAAACUACAGCUUCUGCGGGAGAAUGCGGAGAACCAGGAGGCCAAACUGCGCAGGGUUCGAGCUCUUAAAGGACAAGUGGAGCAGAAACGCAUCAGCAACAGUAAACUAGUGGAGGAGAUCGAGCAGAUGAACGGCCUGUUCCAGCAGAAACAGAGGGAGCUGGUGGUAGCCGUCAGCAGGGUGGAUGAGUUGAGUCGACAGCUUGAGAUGUUACGUGGCGGCAAAAUGGACGUCGCUCUCGAAGCAGGACCGAGCUCAACGGGAGAACUUGAGAGAAUGUACAAAGAACUUCAGCUGAGGAAUAAGUUGAACCAGGAGCAAAGUGCCAAACUCCAGCAGCAGAGAGAGAAUCUAAACAAGAGGAACCUGGAGAUGGCUGCCAUGGACAAAAGAGUAGCCGAACUGAGAGACCGGCUGUGGAAGAAGAAAGCUGCUCUCCAACAGAAAGAAAACUUGCCCCUGCCCACUGAAGGUCAGAUUUCCCAGCCCACUGGCCCGUCUAGGGUUGCUGCUGUUGGGCCUUAUAUCCAAACCACCCCGGCUCCUCCAGUUCCACCCAGGCAGGAGAUCCUGGUGAAACCCGCUUACCCCGACGUCACAGCUACUCUGCCCAAAACGCUCCCCAAACCAACCACAGGUGCUGGUAUCAUGACGGGUAAAAUCUCCAAGGUUUCAGACUUUUACUCCUGCUCAGAAACCAACUGCAGUGCCCAUGGCCACUCCUCCACCCUCCCUCGUAUGACCAGCCACACAUUUCAUGAGAAAGAUCCUGAGGCAGAUUUGAGACCGCAGCCUUUGCCCUUACGAAAGAACCAGAGCAGCGAGGACCUCUUGAGGGACGCACAGUCUGCCGACAAAACCUUUGGUAAGGUUCCUCCACCUGUUCCUAACAAGCCCAAACCCGCUCUACCAGGCCAGUCCACCUUCAGCAAACCUCCCUACAGCACAGGCACAUUUCCUGGCAAAGCCAGGCCAGCCAAUCAAAAACCACCCAUGCCCCUUCCAUCCCAUAACCACACCUUACCCACACCACUUCCUCCCAAACCAGACACGUUACCCGCCGCAACGGUACGACCUUUCACGUCAGAGACCGGGAAAGAGACAUCCAACCCCACCACUCUUCACAAGCCCCAGACGGUAGCCGCUAGCUCAAUUUAUUCAAUGUACACGCAACAGAGCACUCUUGGGAAAGGUUACCAAGGGCAAAGCACGCUCACCCGAUCGCAACCUCGACUGUACGGUAAACCAGUCAUCCCAUCCAGCGGGGGGCAGCAGUCUCAUCCUCAGGACUGCAGUCAAAUCGAUGGUGAUCAGGUGGACCAGGUGGCCCCUGCGGUCUCUUCCGGUGAGGGCCAAGAGACCGAACGCGCUCCUCGUCCCCUCAGCCCAACCAAACUCCUCCCCUUCCUCUCAAAUUCCCAUCGGCUCCAGAGCGACGCCGAUUUGGAGGCCCUGCGUAAGAAGCUGCACCACGCGCCCAGGCCCCUCAAAAAGCGCAGUUCUAUAACUGAACCCGAAGGUCCGAGCGGACCCAACAUCCAAAAGCUCCUCUACCAGAAGACCACACUGGCCGCCAUGGAGACCACCGCCAUCACCCCAUCUGGCUUCUUGCAAGCCGAGGAUGGUACCAGGCAGACAUCUGAAGAGGGCACCAGACCCCUGGAGGGACCCUGUGACACAACGAUACUGGAAAGCGAGGUAGAGGAUGAAGAUCUGAACCCUCCGCCCCUUCCCCCUCGAUCUCCCAUCCCGGAUGAUGGCGGCAUCUCUAACACUGGACCGUUGCCUCCACCACCUCCAAAAGAAGAACAGGAAGUCUAUGGUCCUCCAGCACCAGAGCCCUAUAUUGAGGAGUACCCACCGUACCCUCCACCUCCUUAUCCCAACACAACAGAGCAAGAGGGAUCAGGGGAGGAAAGUGUCGAUAUGAAGGCUCCAGAAAUCACAGGACAGGUCACGCUUCCACCGGGCAAAAGGACAAACCUGCGCAAGACAGGCUCGGAGCGCAUCAACCACGGGAUGCGUGUGCGCUUCAACCCGCUGGCCCUCCUGUUGGACUCCUCCCUCGAGGGCGAAUACGACCUGGUCCAAAGAAUCAUAUACGAGGUGGAUGACCCCAGUUUGCCCAAUGAUGAGGGCAUCACCGCUCUGCAUAAUGCCGUUUGCGCUGGACACACGGAAAUCGUGAAGUUCCUGGUGCAGUUUGGAGUGAAUGUGAAUGCUGCAGAUAGCGAUGGAUGGACUCCCCUCCAUUGUGCCGCCUCUUGUAAUAAUGUGCAGGUCUGUAAGUUCUUAGUUGAAUCCGGAGCGGCCGUCUACGCCAUGACAUACAGCGACAUGCAGACGGCGGCCGAUAAAUGCGAGGAGAUGGAGGAAGGCUACGCCCAGUGCUCCCAGUUUCUCUAUGGUGUACAGGAGAAGAUGGGCAUAAUGAACAGGGGUGUUGUUUAUGCCUUGUGGGACUACGACGCUGAAAAUCCAGAUGAGUUGUCCUUUAAAGAGGGAGACUGUCUGACAGUCCUACGAAGAGAAGACAAUGAAGAGACGGAGUGGUGGUGGAUGACCCCAGUUUGCCCAAUGAUGAGGGCAUCACCGCUCUGCAUAAUGCCGUUUGCGCUGGACACACGGAAAUCGUGAAGUUCCUGGUGCAGUUUGGAGUGAAUGUGAAUGCUGCAGAUAGCGAUGGAUGGACUCCCCUCCAUUGUGCCGCCUCUUGUAAUAAUGUGCAGGUCUGUAAGUUCUUAGUUGAAUCCGGAGCGGCCGUCUACGCCAUGACAUACAGCGACAUGCAGACGGCGGCCGAUAAAUGCGAGGAGAUGGAGGAAGGCUA